rnacentral:rRNA from 1 species
UACGGAGGGGGCUAGCGUUGUUCGGAAUUACUGGGCGUAAAGCGCACGUAGGCGGCUUUGUAAGUUAGAGGUGAAAGCCCAGGGCUUAACCCUGGAAUUGCCUUUAAGACUGCAUCGCUCGAAUUGUGGAGAGGUAAGUGGAAUUCCGAGUGUAGAGGUGAAAUUCGUAGAUAUUCGGAAGAACACCAGUGGCGAAGGCGACUUACUGGACACAUAUUGACGCUGAGGCGCGAAAGCGUGGGGAGCAAACAGG